UUCUUUCUCACUCUUUUCUACAUAGCAAAAUGCUGCGACUUCAACUUUCUCCUUUCUCAGUUGUCGUCGUUGUCUCCUUCAUCGUCGCCGAUUGUUCAAGCCUCCAUAGUGGUCAGUCCAUGUAUGACAUGCAAGAUUCUGCGUCAGAGAUGUGUAGAGAAAUGCAUAUUGGCUCCCUAUUUUCCUCCCUCUCAGCCUCUCAAGUUCACCAUUGCUCACCGCAUCUUCAACAUUAGCAACAUCAUCAAAUUGCUUCUGAAAACAUCUCCGGAAGAAACUCGAGUAGGAUUAGAACGGUAGCUGCCAAAAGAAGAAUGGGUUCCAAUUAAUCCUCUUCUGGUGAACAAGUUGGAUUUGGACAAAAUAUUUGCAUUCCCCUUAGACCCAAAUGUGGAAAUUGUAGUGUUAGUGACCUAUGCUCAUUUGCAUUUAAGGAGUCUUCAACACCAUCACCCAAAUUAAAUGGUUCAAGUUCUACCAAAAAGUUGUGAUCAUCUUUCUGUAUGAAUGAAUAUAUUUAGUUAGUCUUACAUUUUCCCCAAGUUUUUGGUUUUCUAUCUUUUUGGUUUUUUGUUUUUUUUGGCACCAUAAUGGUUUAUGAAUUUAGAGGUUCCAUUAUGGUUUAUAUCACCAAGUGGAUAUUGAAGGAUCUCAAUUGGCCAAUGUUGUGUAGAAUGAACCUUGUUAUUGAUAUUAUAAUGUAUUGAUGUUCUUGGUGCGGAUUUUACAUUA